rnacentral:rRNA from 1 species
GAAGGGGGCUAGCGUUGCUCGGAAUCACUGGGCGUAAAGGGCGCGUAGGCGGCCGAUUAAGUCGGGGUGAAAGCCUGUGGCUCAACCACAGAAUUGCCUUCGAUACUGGUUGGCUUGAGACCGGAAGAGGACAGCGGAACUGCGAGUGUAGAGGUGAAAUUCGUAGAUAUUCGCAAGAACACCAGUGGCGAAGGCGGCUGUCUGGUCCGGUUCUGACGCUGAGGCGCGAAAGCGUGGGGAGCAAACAGGGAUUAGAUACCCUGGUAGUCCACGCCGUAAACGAUGAAUGCCAGCCCGUUGGCCUGCUUGCAGGUCAGUGGCGCCGCUAACGCAUUAAGCAUUCCGCCCUGGGAGUACGGUCGCAAGAUUA